GUAGGUGGCGAGCGUUAUCCGGAUUUAUUUGGCGUAAAGCGUGCGCAGGCGGUUUGUUAAGUCUAAAAUUAACAUCCGAAGCUUAACUUCGGUUCGUUUUAGAAACUGGCAAGCUUGAGUAUGGUAGAGGCAAACGGAAUUUCUAGUGUAGCGGUAAAAUGCGUAGAUAUUAGAAGGAACACCAGUGGCGAAGGCGGUUUGCUGGGCCAUUACUGACGCUCAUGCACGAAAGCGUGGGGAGC
rnacentral:rRNA from 1 species